AAAGGUGAACCUGGAUAUCUUUGACGCUGCUGUGUCAUUUGUUAAUGUAAAUAACAACCACUGGCGUUUCGUGUACCUUCAUGCGCCUUUAAGGACUUUAUUUGUGAUGGAUCCUGCCACUGCAGAACAAGAUUUUCACCUCUCCAUAACUGCUGUUCAGCGUUACAACAGCUACUUUCGGAUGCGGCAGAAUGUAAUUGGGAAACAGGUGUGGAGCAGUAUAAAGUGGAAAGCUGCAACUACUCCACACCCAAUCCAAAAAGAUUCCACAAGCUGCGG